AUACUUACCUGGAUGGGGCUUUAUGGGUGAUCAAGAAUGCCUGUGGCCUAGAAUAACGGCCUUCAUUGCACUUUGAAGGGGCGCUGGUUUACCAUAUGCCCAAGUGGUAGAGUGGACGUCAUAAUUUGUGUAUGCAGCUCAUCUUGAUCACAUAGUUGA